GGCCAAACAACAGUGGUGUGAGACCUAAAGUAUUUCUUUUUAAUCCAUCGGUGUAUGAUUGUUUUCGAUCAAUCCAACCCCAUAUGUUAAAUUUAUGAUCGAAGACCUUCGCAUAAAUGAUAAGGCUUAUAUUGCAUUCAUUUUUCCAAUACUUGAAAACGGUUCGGACCGAGCAACCGAAUAGUGUGGCAACUUAUGUUAUUUUCCUUUUCGAUGGCUCCCCACUCUCAUCGUAGGAAAUGAGUAUAAAUUGAACCACCCGGUUCAAUUCCGAAUGCGUCCAGGCACCGCAAACGGACCAAUAUCUGGAGACGAGGUUGUAGGUGGAUCAGAAGUCUCAACCGGAACAGGAUCCAGAGGCGGAGAUAAAGUCGUAGAAUCAGGGUCAGGAAACAAAGGACGACAUGACGACAUAAAUGAAGGUGAACCAGAAAUGGAUGAAACAUGAAAUAUAGACAGGGUGGAAAACAUGACACUCUCUCAAAAAGACAACAUAAAUGCGCACGAGGUUCCGAUUAGGAACGUUCAUGCGGAGGGAUAAAGACGAAACCGACACAACCGAAGGGAUGAAGGAUAUUAUAAUCGAGUGGCUGACCAUAUAGACGUUGAAAAGAAGUACUAUUAUGACAGAAAAAGGAUGAAAUACGAUUUAUGGUAUAGGCAACAUAGAAGGAACAAGGGAAUAACCCUAAAUAUCAAAAUGAACCAAGAAAAACGAUUUACUUGCAACCAACAUAUUUUCUGAAAUAUAUA